rnacentral:rRNA from 1 species
GACGUAGGGCGCGAGCGUUGUCCGGAUUUAUUGGGCGUAAAGAGCUCGUAGGCGGCUUGUCGCGUCGUCCGUGAAAACCUGCGGCUCAACUGCAGGCUGGCGGUUGAUACGGGCAGGCUGGAGUUCGGUAGGGGAGACUGGAAUUCCUGGUGUAGCGGUGAAAUGCGCAGAUAUCAGGAGGAACACCGAUGGCGAAGGCAGGUCUCUGGGCUGUAAUUGACGCUGAGGAGCGAAAGCAUGGGGAGCGAACAGG